UACGUAGGGGGCAAGCGUUGUCCGGAUUUAUUGGGCGUAAAGAGCUCGUAGGCGGCUCAGUAAGUCGGGUGUGAAACCUCCAGGCUCAACCUGGAGACGCCACCCGAUACUGCUGUGGCUUGAGUCCGGUAGGGGAGCGUGGAAUUCCUGGUGUAGCGGUGAAAUGCGCAGAUAUCAGGAGGAACACCAGCGGCGAAGGCGGCGCUCUGGGCCGGAACUGACGCUGAGGAGCGAAAGCAUGGGGAGCGAACAGG
rnacentral:rRNA from 1 species